rnacentral:rRNA from 1 species
CAAGAGUCCACAUCGACGGGGAGGUUUGGCACCUCGAUGUCGGCUUAUCGCAUCCUGGGGCUGUAGUCGGUCCCAAGGGUUGGGCUGUUCGCCCAUUAAAGCGGUACGCGAGCUGGGUUCAGAACGUCGUGAGACAGUUCGGUCCCUAUCCGUCGUGGGCGUAGGAAAUUUGAGAGGAGCUGUCCUUAGUACGAGAGGACCGGGAUGGACGCACCGCUGGUGUACCAGUUGUUCUGCCAAGGGCAUAGCUGGGUAGCUAUGUGCGGAAGGGAUAAGUGCUGAAAGCAUCUAAGCAUGAAGCCCCCCUCAAGAUGAGAUUUCCCAUAGCGU